rnacentral:rRNA from 1 species
UAAGUUCCCCGCNNGGGGAGUACGCCGGCAAGGNAAACUCAAAGGAAUUGACGGGNCCGCACAAGCGGCGGANCAUGCGGAAUNAUUCGAUGCAACGCGAAGAACCUUACCAAGGCUUGACAUAUACCGGAAAAAGUGCAGAAAUGUACUCCCCCGCAAGGUCGGUAUACAGGUGGUGCAAUGGUUGUCGUCAGCUCGUGUCGUGAGAUGUUGGGUUAAGUCCCGCAACGAGCGCAACCCUCGUUCUAUGUUGCCAGCACGUAAAGGUGGGAACUCAUGGGAGACUGCCCGGGGUCAACUCGGAGGAAGGUGGGGAUGACGUCAAAUCAUCAUGCCCCUUAUGUCUUGGGCUUCACGCAUGCUACAAUGGCCGAUACAGAGGGCUGCAAUACCGCAAGGUGGAGCGAAUCCCACAAAGUCGGUCUCAGUUCGGAUUGAGGUCUGCAACUCGACCUCAUGAAGUCGGAGUCGCUAGUAAUCGCAGAUCAGCAACGCUGCGGUGAAUACGUUCCCGGGCCUUGUACACACCGCCCGUCAAGUCAUGAAAGUCGGUAACACCCGAAGCCAGUGGCCUAACCGCAAGGAAGGAGCUGUCGAAGGUGGGAUCGGUGAUUAGGACUAAGUCGUAACAAGGUAGCCG